GCUCCUGUGGAGGGGAGCUUAGCCUUCAGGAGAAGACUGAGCCAGAACUGACAGGGAGCCUAGACUGUGAGCUCUCUAGGGAACCUGCCAUGACAGGAAGCAUGUAAGAGGAACUCCUGCAGAGGGAAGCCUCCUAGGCAGAGGCCUGCAGCCAGCAGGCAUUCAAGAGGACCUAGUCUCAGCCAGGGAUCCCCCAGUCACUAGCCAGAACCCCAGCCUGGUCAGGAUCACCUGCUGUCCCUGGAGAGGAGUUGCAAUGGACAGACCUCCCUGGGCCCCGGACUCUGGAGAAGGACGUUACUUCUAUAGGGACUGACACCAAGGGCUGGGAGAAACUUGCAUCUGAGCCUACCUGGGAAGAGCAUGUUGGGAGUAGUGUCCCUGGAACCAAAAUCAAAUUAUGGUGGUGCUGCCAUUUUGUUUUCAGAUGCGGCCUGCUAUAGAGGUGAUGCGCACAGAGUGCUUGCUAAGAGCGACCGUAGUCUUGUUCUGCUUGUCUAUUAAUAGAAAAUAAAGGCAAUUCUGGCCAAAAGGAUGUAAUUGCUCUUUGUGGGCCUGAUCAAACAAAAUCCCUUUGACUCCAAUGGGCUUUGGAUCAGGUCCAAUAUCCUGAGAAACGUUGCACACUAACCGACACCCAGUACAGUUUUACAGUGUAGUUCUGUCAGAAAACAGACUCUAAACAAGAUGAGGCCUCGUUUAUCCUCACAGGGUGAAAUUCCCCUUGAGAAGUCAGCCCAAGACUAUUUAAGAACCAUUUGAAUUCUAAGAAUGAAAUUCAUCCUCAUGUACUGAAUAGGAGCCCCUGGAUGGGCUCUCUGGUCAAGGCUGAAUUUCAUACUUUAGGUGCAACAUCUUAUUGCCUUUAAAAUCCAGUUCUUCUUCCUGCAAAAAGUUGAGCUGGUCUAUUGUAUAUUUGUUAACUAAGCAGCCCUGCCUACAUGAUAAACAGAAAGGGGUUAAUAUUUAUCCUCUUUGAAAUGCUUCUCCACUCCGCCACACAAAACAAAUGUAGCCCUCCGAUUUAAGAGUGUCAUUGGCUGAACAUAAAUUGGA